GGGAUGGAAUCUAUCCCUCGCCCAGUAGCAGAAUAGGGACCACUAGGUAAGUACAAAACCAUUUAACAUACAUAUAUUUGAAAAGCAACUUCAUAGUAUAAAGUCAUCCAUCAUUUAUACUAUAAAGAGGUGUUCGAAACAUGUUCUACAUAUUAUAUCGUCAUCCAUAAGAUAUUCUAUAAAGAACACAGGUUAUAAGGAAAAUAGUAAUGAUUCAAACUAACCUCAAUAAGCAUGUUAUCUCAUAAAACGUUUCAUAAAACAUAAUCAUUAAAUCAUGUUUUUCAUGUAUGCAUUAAUACUGUUAAAACAUGCAUUUUUAGAAGGGGUCCACUCACAUAUACUUAGCUGUCGAAGAGCCACGCAAACUAGCAAACAUGAAAUCGUCACAAUAUAUGCACCUAAGCACAUCAAGGGUACAAUUAAUAAAGCUCUAUCCAAAAAAUUUAAUUUGGGAAAACGAACGUCAAAAAAGGAUUCAAGACGUCGAAUUACUCUAAAAUGGGUCCCGGGUAAAUUUCGUAAAAGUUCAACACGAGAACAUUCUAGAGAAUAUUCCUAGGAAGGUUCCAACCGAGUUCAGGGCUUAGGGUUUGGACUUAGGUUUAGGUUUAGGUAGGUUGGGCUUAGGAUAAUGGGUUAAUGAGUUAAGGGUU
rnacentral:lncRNA from 1 species